ACAGCUUUCCACUCCUUCCCGCUCUUGCCCUAGCACACAUACCAGACUCUCUCGCUGGCCACGACACCUCCUUCCCUGUUCUCUUGGAGACCCAUCUUUGAGAAACCAAUUCUCCCCACGAAUGUAAUCAUCUAAUCACACAAAGAUCUCACCUUUUUCUUUUCCAAUUUCUCCUUUUCUAUUCAACUUCUUCAAGUGGGGGUUUUCUUUGAAUUGCUGCGGUGACCCCUAUGUUCUAGGUAGUGUAUGCUUUUCAAAAUUUUGGCUGUGCUCAGGAAAAUGACAAGGGUGUUACAUUCAAGGGUGUGCAUUCGGUGUCAUUUUCCGCAUAUGGAGUCCCUCUUAUAGAAGAUUAUGUAUGGGGUCCUGUGAAGCGCCUUGAAUCACUGUAUCCAGAUUCGAAUCCGCGGGGAUAUUACGCUGGUUCAAAUGGCUCGCCUUAGGUUUCCACCUUCCUAACUUUCUCUCUUCCUUCUCCACCAUUUCCUAAUUCUAAUUCCUCCAUUCUCACUCCCUUCGCCAUGUCCAACAGGAUGGACGAAUUGUUCCUUUAGUUCAGUAUGUGGUUUCCCUGGCUAUCACAGAGGCAAUCAAGGAUAUCUGUGACAAAAAUGGGUUACCCUGCAUAGAUGUUAAAAUCAAGUGGCCAAAUGAUCUUUAUUUAAAUGGAUCUAAAGUUGGAGGCAUUCUUUGUACGUCAACAUAUAAAUCAAAGAAGUUCAAUGU